GUUCUCGUAACAGUCGGCUAUCCCGGUGUCAUUCGCAGUACUCCAACUAGCAUAUUAUUAUGGUUACUUAAAUCCUAAUCGUAACUGGGAUAGUUGGUGCAAUUAAACACACUCAUCAGAUCGUAUUGACCAUUCCAAAGUCCGUCUUGUUCUCUUCUGUUAAUUUGCAAUUUACUAACUGGUGUCUUAUAUUUCAGGGACUGUCGAGCAGACCUUUGGCCUCAUCAGGUUCAGGGCUGAAAAUGAGGAGAAGUUCACCAAAAACAAAUAUGCCUCCAAACUGUUAUGGGAGAAAGCAGUGAAAGACCUGGGCCUGGAAGGGACAAUGACAGGAGAGAAGGCAGCCAAGAAGUGGGAGAAUUUGAAGAAACGGACCUGAAACAACCAAAGACGGGCUCAGGUACAGACAGUGGCGAAACAACAGCAUCCAAUUGGCGGUACUAUGAGGCGAUGCACGCCGUUUUGGGGGGAAGGCCAGCAAUAGAUCCUCCCGUGAUUGUGGCAUCUUUCAAGCCGGCAGAGGACCCUACAUCAUUGUUAAUGGCCAUUGUCACGCCCGAACCUGAACCCCCCGAGGAAGACAUCUCUGAGGCUGGAUCUACUCUUCCUCCCACCACCCCAAUUCAUCCCACUACACCAACCCCCGCUCGUCCCACCUCUUCAGCUUUCCCCACUACACCAACC